rnacentral:rRNA from 1 species
GGGUUGUGAGGUUAAGCGACUAAGCGUACACGGUGGAUGCCCUGGCAGUCAGAGGCGAUGAAGGACGUGCUAAUCUGCGAUAAGCGUCGGUAAGGUGAUAUGAACCGUUAUAACCGGCGAUUUCCGAAUGGGGAAACCCAGUGUGAUUCGUCACACUAUCAUUAACUGAAUCCAUAGGUUAAUGAGGCGAACCGGGGGAACUGAAACAUCUAAGUACCCCGAGGAAAAGAAAUCAACCGAGAUUCCCCCAGUAGCGGCGAGCGAACGGGGAGGAGCCCAGAGCCUGAAUCAGUGUGUGUGUUAGUGGAAGCGUCUGGAAAGGCGCGCGAUACAGGGUGACAGCCCCGUACACAAAAAUGCACAUAUUGUGAGCUCGAUGAGUAGGGCGGGACACGUGGUAUCCUGUCUGAAUAUGGGGGGACCAUCCUCCAAGGCUAAAUACUCCUGACUGACCGAUAGUGAACCAGUACCGUGAGGGAAAGGCGAAAAGAACCCCGGCGAGGGGAGUGAAAAAGAACCUGAAACCGUGUACGUACAAGCAGUGGGAGCACGCUUAGGCGUGUGACUGCGUACCUUUUGUAUAAUGGGUCAGCGACUUAUAUUCUGUAGCAAGGUUAACCGAAUAGGGGAGCCGAAGGGAAACCGAGUCUUAACUGGGCGUUAAGUUGCAGGGUAUAGACCCGAAACCCGGUGAUCUAGCCAUGGGCAGGUUGAAGGUUGGGUAACACUAACUGGAGGACCGAACCGACUAAUGUUGAAAAAUUAGCGGAUGACUUGUGGCUGGGGGUGAAAGGCCAAUCAAACCGGGAGAUAGCUGGUUCUCCCCGAAAGCUAUUUAGGUAGCGCCUCGUGAAUUCAUCUCCGGGGGUAGAGCACUGUUUCGGCAAGGGGGUCAUCCCGACUUACCAACCCGAUGCAAACUGCGAAUACCGGAGAAUGUUAUCACGGGAGACACACGGCGGGUGCUAACGUCCGUCGUGAAGAGGGAAACAACCCAGACCGCCAGCUAAGGUCCCAAAGUCAUGGUUAAGUGGGAAACGAUGUGGGAAGGCCCAGACAGCCAGGAUGUUGGCUUAGAAGCAGCCAUCAUUUAAAGAAAGCGUAAUAGCUCACUGGUCGAGUCGGCCUGCGCGGAAGAUGUAACGGGGCUAAACCAUGCACCGAAGCUGCGGCAGCGACGCUUAUGCGUUGUUGGGUAGGGGAGCGUUCUGUAAGCCUGCGAAGGUGUGCUGUGAGGCAUGCUGGAGGUAUCAGAAGUGCGAAUGCUGACAUAAGUAACGAUAAAGCGGGUGAAAAGCCCGCUCGCCGGAAGACCAAGGGUUCCUGUCCAACGUUAAUCGGGGCAGGGUGAGUCGACCCCUAAGGCGAGGCCGAAAGGCGUAGUCGAUGGGAAACAGGUUAAUAUUCCUGUACUUGGUGUUACUGCGAAGGGGGGACGGAGAAGGCUAUGUUGGCCGGGCGACGGUUGUCCCGGUUUAAGCGUGUAGGCUGGUUUUCCAGGCAAAUCCGGAAAAUCAAGGCUGAGGCGUGAUGACGAGGCACUACGGUGCUGAAGCAACAAAUGCCCUGCUUCCAGGAAAAGCCUCUAAGCAUCAGGUAACAUCAAAUCGUACCCCAAACCGACACAGGUGGUCAGGUAGAGAAUACCAAGGCGCUUGAGAGAACUCGGGUGAAGGAACUAGGCAAAAUGGUGCCGUAACUUCGGGAGAAGGCACGCUGAUAUGUAGGUGAGGUCCCUCGCGGAUGGAGCUGAAAUCAGUCGAAGAUACCAGCUGGCUGCAACUGUUUAUUAAAAACACAGCACUGUGCAAACACGAAAGUGGACGUAUACGGUGUGACGCCUGCCCGGUGCCGGAAGGUUAAUUGAUGGGGUUAGCCGCAAGGCGAAGCUCUUGAUCGAAGCCCCGGUAAACGGCGGCCGUAACUAUAACGGUCCUAAGGUAGCGAAAUUCCUUGUCGGGUAAGUUCCGACCUGCACGAAUGGCGUAAUGAUGGCCAGGCUGUCUCCACCCGAGACUCAGUGAAAUUGAACUCGCUGUGAAGAUGCAGUGUACCCGCGGCAAGACGGAAAGACCCCGUGAACCUUUACUAUAGCUUGACACUGAACAUUGAGCCUUGAUGUGUAGGAUAGGUGGGAGGCUUAGAAGUGUGGACGCCAGUCUGCAUGGAGCCGACCUUGAAAUACCACCCUUUAAUGUUUGAUGUUCUAACGUUGACCCGUAAUCCGGGUUGCGGACAGUGUCUGGUGGGUAGUUUGACUGGGGCGGUCUCCUCCUAAAGAGUAACGGAGGAGCACGAAGGUUGGCUAAUCCUGGUCGGACAUCAGGAGGUUAGUGCAAUGGCAUAAGCCAGCUUGACUGCGAGCGUGACGGCGCGAGCAGGUGCGAAAGCAGGUCAUAGUGAUCCGGUGGUUCUGAAUGGAAGGGCCAUCGCUCAACGGAUAAAAGGUACUCCGGGGAUAACAGGCUGAUACCGCCCAAGAGUUCAUAUCGACGGCGGUGUUUGGCACCUCGAUGUCGGCUCAUCACAUCCUGGGGCUGAAGUAGGUCCCAAGGGUAUGGCUGUUCGCCAUUUAAAGUGGUACGCGAGCUGGGUUUAGAACGUCGUGAGACAGUUCGGUCCCUAUCUGCCGUGGGCGCUGGAGAACUGAGGGGGGCUGCUCCUAGUACGAGAGGACCGGAGUGGACGCAUCACUGGUGUUCGGGUUGUCAUGCCAAUGGCACUGCCCGGUAGCUAAAUGCGGAAGAGAUAAGUGCUGAAAGCAUCUAAGCACGAAACUUGCCCCGAGAUGAGUUCUCCCUGACUCCUUGAGAGUCCUGAAGGAACGUUGAAGACGACGACGUUGAUAGGCCGGGUGUGUAAGCGCAGCGAUGCGUUGAGCUAACCGGUACUAAUGAACCGUGAGGCUUAACCUUACAACGCCGAAG